rnacentral:rRNA from 1 species
UACAGAGGGUGCGAGCGUUAAUCGGAAUUACUGGGCGUAAAGGGUGCGUAGGUGGUUGCAUAAGUUAGGUGUGAAAGUCCCGGGCUUAACCUGGGGAUUGCGCCUAAUACUGUGUAGCUAGAGUACUGUAGAGGAAGGUGGAAUUUCCAGUGUAGCGGUGAAAUGCGUAGAUAUUGGAAGGAACAUCGGUGGCGAAGGCGACCUUCUGGACAGAUACUGACACUGAGGCACGAAAGCAUGGGGAGCAAACAGG